rnacentral:rRNA from 1 species
GGGAGCAGAGUGACAGGUGGUGCAUGGUUGUCGUCAGCUCGUGUCGUGAGAUGUUGGGUUAAGUCCCGCAACGAGCGCAACCCUUGAUCUUAGUUGCCAUCAUUAAGUUGGGCACUCUAAGGUGACUGCCGGUGACAAACCGGAGGAAGGUGGGGAUGACGUCAAAUCAUCAUGCCCCUUAUGACCUGGGCUACACACGUGCUACAAUGGACGGUACAAAGAGCUGCAAGACCGCGAGGUGGAGCUAAUCUCAUAAAACCGUUCUCAGUUCGGAUUGUAGGCUGCAACUCGCCUACAUGAAGCUGGAAUCGCUAGUAAUC